UACGGGGGGGGUAAGCGUUGUUCGGAAUUACUGGGCGUAAAGGGCUCGUAGGCGGCCAACUAAGUCAGACGUGAAAUCCCUCAGCUUAACUGGGGGAACUGCGUCUGAUACUGGAUGGCUUGGAUUCGGGAGAGGAAUGCGGAAUUCCAGGUGUAGCGGUGAAAUGCGUAGAUAUCUGGAGGAACACCGGUGGCGAAGGCGGCUCACUGGACUGGUAUUGACGCUGAGGUGCGAAAGCGUGGGGAGCAAACAGG
rnacentral:rRNA from 1 species